AUUGAACGCUGGCGGCAGGCUUAACACAUGCAAGUCGAGCGGAGAUGAGGUGCUUGCACCUUAUCUUAGCGGCGGACGGGUGAGUAAUGCUUAGGAAUCUGCCUAUUAGUGGGGGACAACAUUCCGAAAGGAAUGCUAAUACCGCAUACGUCCUACGGGAGAAAGCAGGGGAUCUUCGGACCUUGCGCUAAUAGAUGAGCCUAAGUCGGAUUAGCUAGUUGGUGGGGUAAAGGCCUACCAAGGCGACGAUCUGUAGCGGGUCUGAGAGGAUGAUCCUCCACACGGGGGCGGAGACACCGCCCAGAUUCCUACGGGAGGCAGCAGUGGGGAAUAUUGGACAAUGGGGGGAACCCUGAUCCAGCCAGGCCGCGUGUGUGAAGAAGGCCUUAUGGUUGUAAAGCACUUUAAGCGAGGAGGAGGCUACUGAGACUAAUACUCUUGGAUAGUGGACGUUACUCGCAGAAUAAGCACCGGCUAACUCUGUGCCAGCCGCCGCCGUAA
rnacentral:rRNA from 1 species